GUCGAGCGGACCGACGGGAGCUUGCUCCCUUAGGUCAGCGGCGGACGGGUGAGUAACACGUGGGUAACCUGCCUGUAAGACUGGGAUAACUCCGGGAAACCGGGGCUAAUACCGGAUGCUUGAUUGAACCGCAUGGUUCAAUCAUAAAAGGCGGCUUCGGCUGCCGUUUACAGAUGGACCCGCGGCGCAUUAGCUAGUUGGUGAGGUAAUGGCUCACCAAGGCGACGAUGCGUAGCCGACCUGAGAGGGUGAUCGGCCACACUGGGACUGAGACACGGCCCAGACUCCUACGGGAGGCAGCAGUAGGGAAUCUUCCGCAAUGGACGAAAGUCUGACGGAGCAACGCCGCGUGAGUGAUGAAGGUUUUCGGAUCGUAAAGCUCUGUUGUUAGGGAAGAACAAGUACCGUUCGAAUAGGGCGGUACCUUGACGGUACCUAACCAAAAAGCCACGGCUAACUACGUGCCAGCAACCGCGGUAAUACGUAGGUGGCAAGCGUUGUCCGGAAUUAUUGGGCGUAAAGCGCGCGCAGGCGGUUUCUUAAGUCUGAUGUGAAGGCUCGCGACUCAACUGGGGAGGGUCAUUGGAAACUGGGGAACUUGAGUGCAGAAGAGGAGAGUGGAAUUCCACGUGUAGCGGUGAAAUGCGUAGAGAUGUGGAGGAACACCAGUGGCGAAGGCGACUCUCUGGUCUGUAACUGACGCUGAGGCGCGAAAGCGUGGGGAGCGAACAGGAUUAGAUACCCUGGUAGUCCACGCCGUAAACGAUGAGUGCUAAGUGUGAGAGGGUUUCCGCCCUUUAGUGCUGCAGCAUACGCAGUAAGCACUGCGCCUGGGGAGUACAGUCGCAAGACUGAAACUCAAAG
rnacentral:rRNA from 1 species